GUGCAAGUGUUGGGAUGGAAGCUCAGGGUCUAUGUCCAAAACCACCAAACAUCAAAACUAAGGCAAGCCACCCUUUACCACCCCCUCACUGCCUCCCUGACCUUCUGACUCUUCCUAGGAAGCCACAGGGAAAGGGGAUCAUGCACCAUUUGCCACCCUGGCCCCCGCGUGGGGAGGGAGCCUGCAGCAGGUUCAGGGCAGCAGGAAGACGUGCUCUGAGUGCCAUAAAACCUAAACUUUUGUUGUGGAAUGAAUAUUUGUGUACCCCCUAAAUUCAUAUAUUGAAGUCCUAAACCCUCAGUGGGAUGGUAGUGGGAGGUGGACCUUUGGGAGGUAAUUAGGUUUAGAUGAGGUCGUGAGGGCAAGGGCCUCGAGAUGCCCUUCUAAGAAGAGCUCGUUCUCUCUCUACCAGGUAGAGACACAGCAGGGAGGCAGCUGUCUCCAAGCCAGGAAGUGGGCUCUCACCAGCAACCAAAUCUGCCAGCACCUUGAUCUUGGGCUUCCAGCCUCCAGAACUAUCCCUACCUCAUUCUGACUGUGAUUUGAGGCAUAGACACUGAAUACCACAGAGCCAAGCUGGAAUCUCGGCCGAGCCCUUUCUACAUGGGUGACCUUGAGCACAUUGAUUUACCUGGAUGUGUGGAGGAGAGCUCCUGAGCUUGUCUGGAUCCAACACUCUGCUCUGUCAGACCACACGGGAGGUUCCAUUUUCCAGUCUCCCUAGGCAAGGCCAUAGGACUCCUCUGAGCCCAAGGGCUGUGAGGGAGGUAAUAACGGUUGGCUUCUGGGCCAAAUCAUUAAAUUGCUUAUUCUGUUGGUCUUUUCCACAGUUCAUUUAGGGAAAUGCUCCAAAGUGAAGAAUGGGUUCAGGUGUAGACCUGAGCCUAGAUUACUCCAACUGGCCACGGAGAUUGCCUGAGAUUGCCAGGUGUGCAUGCAUGUACACACACACACACACCUACACACCAUUUGCAGAAUGAAACCUAAUGGGGACAGUCCCUGAUUUGAGUACUGCUAGGUUGUCC
rnacentral:lncRNA from 1 species